AGUCACGUGGGAGGACAAUGGUGAGAAGAGGGAACCUAAGAAUUCCUGGACUCUGACUGGGCGUGAGAAAUGGCCGGAAGUAGCUUCGAGUCCGUCAUUCAAGCAGUAGAGGCUCUGGAGAAAAACUGGAGCGCAUCUGCUUAAAGGGCCGCCCAGGGUCAGGAUGGAGGGGCAAAGUCCGAGCAGGGUCAGUGGGUUGCUGCUCCGUUUUCCUGUCCUGGGUUCAAGUCACCCUUCCCCCAGGGCUAAGGGCUCAGCGCCCCUACCGUCUCGUUAGAAAUCCUGCCUUCCCAUUCCUAUGGUCCAGUGGUCAGCCCUCCUAGCCUGAGAGGUGCAGCCUUGCCUCUCCGAGGGGAAGCCUGACUCUCCCGAUGGCCAGCCUGGGGCCCCUGGACGGCUCUCCGGGCACUUUCUGAACACACCUCCCUUUAGGACCCAGGGGAAAUAAUUUGUCCCACGCCCAUACCCUGGGCGAGUUCCUGGUUUCUGAGGUGGGAGAGCCAUCACUGGAGAGGUGGCAUUGGCGCCAGUACUCAGGCCAGAAGCCCCUUGUGCCCUGCUCUCAGGUAGGCCUGGAAAAGGGCAACAGUGCCUCUCUGCAGCAUGAAGCCCCCCUGAGCAAACAGGGCCUAGCAACUCCUGCCCAGGUAGCGGAAUGUGGCCCAAGCAGAAGGGGGAAUUGGGGAGGUAGCGGGGAUCAGCCCCUGUGCUGGGACCCCUAGCUCUUGACACUCGGAGCCUGCAUCCCCCUAAGCCAAGACUGUGCGCAGGCAGCACGUGCUGAAGCCAGACGAGGACAGCAUGAGAGUUCCCCUACUCUUCCCCCAGGCAACUAGAUGGGCCACUUCUCUCUCCCUAGGGGUUUCCUCCCAUAUUGGAUCACGAUGAAAACUGCACAGAAAGUCCGUGCUCAGUUUCUUCCAUGGUUACAGAACACAGGCCCCAGACCAGGAAGGCAUUCUGCUAAAGAAGGGGACCCGAAACCUCAGCUACCAGCGCCGAUGGUUCAUCCUCCGAGGAAACCUCCUCUUCUACCUAGAACACUAGACCGACCAUGCACCCCUGAGCCUCAUCCUGUUAGAGAACUGCCAGGUGGAACCACACCUUAAGGCUGCAGAACCCUAUGCCUUUACCAUCCUGACCCCUGGGGUGGAGGGCACAGGUGGGCGGGCCUACAAGCUGGCUGCAGAAACCCAGGAAGAGCUGGAGACUUGGCUGUGGGCACUGGCUGGCGCGAGCUGGAGGCGGCUGGCUGGGCUGCUGUCCCCCCUCCCCCCCCACCAAAACCCAAUACUGGGAGCUGUGCCAGGCAACUGGCCAAGAACCCAUCUCAUCCCCAGAGGACAGUGGCUUUCUAGCCACUGUGAGUACCCCCUCCAGCUUCCAGGAGUUGCAUGAGCACUUUGGGAAGGAGAUCCGGGUGCUGCACGUGGUACAUAGAGAGCUCCAGGCAGCCAGUGACAAUGGAGACAGCAGAUCCCAGGCAAAGAUGGAGCAGGAGCUCAACCAGUGUCUGAUGAGUGACUGAGAGAUGGACCCAAAGCUAAGAGGUACCUACUUGCCAAGACAGCAGACUGCUUCAACAGAGACCCAGGUCCUGGCUCUGUCCCUCCCUCCCUCGUCCUUACCCCAUCCCCCCCUCAUCAAAUAACAAGGCAGAAAACAGGCCCAGGUACAACAGCAGGUUCUUUUCCAAUUCCUCAAAGCGCUGCAUGGGGUGGGGGCAGAGACAGAAGAGAAUGUAAACAUUGGGUUCCACCCCCUGGAGCUCAAGGGAAGACCCUUACCCAGAUAGGGACUAACUGGAGGGGUGGAAGGGAACAAGGUGAAAGGUAUGGGUCCUGGUGAGACAAAAGCAGGGGGGCCUGAGAACACAGAGCAAGGUGGGUUUGGAGGGAGCACAGCAGGGUGCAGGAAGGGAGAUGGGGGACAUUUCCUAUUCCAGUGCAUGUCCCCUUAAAUAAACUGGGUACAGGAGCAUUAUGGAAGGAGAACCAAAGGACAGAAGACAAAGCGAGCACCCCCACCCCAGGCCAACGCCAUCCUCUGUACACAAUUACAACACAGGUCCAGAAUGAGAGCCCUGGCCAGGAAGUGGGGGAGACAGGGAGGGCUGAAGACAGGGAAAAGGAAGCCAGCUCCACCUCAUGGUAAGGGGAGCUAUGGAGUGUAAGAAUCUGAAACUGCUGACUCCCAUCACCAGGAGUCACCCCUGGGAUGACAACGGGCCAUUCAGGACAGCACCUAGGAGGGGACCCAGAGGGAACUGGGGCAGGAGCGACAGAGACCCCAGCUGAGCCUCAUGGGAGAUGA
rnacentral:lncRNA from 1 species